GAUGAACGCUAGCUACAGGCUUAACACAUGCAAGUCGAGGGGAAACGACAUCGAAAGCUUGCUUUUGGUGGGCGUCGACCGGCGCACGGGUGAGUAACGCGUAUCCAACCUGCCCACCACUUGGGGAUAACCUUGCGAAAGUAAGACUAAUACCCAAUGAUAUCCCACGAAGGCAUCCGAAUGGGAUUAAAGAUUUAUCGGUGAUGGAUGGGGAUGCGUCUGAUUAGCUUGUCGGCGGGGUAACGGCCCACCAAGGCAACGAUCAGUAGGGGUUCUGGAGAGGAAGGUCCCCCCACAUUGGAACUGAGACACGGUCCAAACUCCUACGGGAGGCAGCAGUGAGGAAUAUUGGUCAAUGGACGGGAGUCUGAACCAGCCAAGUAGCGUGCAGGAUGACGGCCCUAUGGGUUGUAAACUGCUUUUAUAAGGGAAUAAAGUGAGCCUCGUGAGGCUUUUUGCAUGUACCUUAUGAAUAAGGACCGGCUAAUUCCGUG
rnacentral:rRNA from 1 species